rnacentral:rRNA from 1 species
UGAGGAAUAUUGGACAAUGGAUGGAAAUCUGAUCCAGCCAUGCCGCGUGCAGGAAGACGGCCCUAUGGGUUGUAAACUGCUUUUGUAUGGGAGCAAUAAGGACUACGUGUAGUUUGAUGAGAGUACCAUACGAAUAAGCAUCGGCUAACUCCGUGCCAGCAGCCGCGGUAAUACGGAGGAUGCGAGCGUUAUCCGGAUUUAUUGGUUUUAACGGGUGCGUAGGCGGCGAUAUAAGUCAGUGGUGAAAUAUUUCGGCUUAACCGAGAGACUGCCAUUGAUACUGUGUUGCUAGAAUAUGGUUGCUGUGAGUGGAAUGUGUGGUGUAGCGGUGAAAUGCUUAGAUAUCACACAGAAUAUCGAUUGCGAAGGCAGCUCACAAAGCCAUUAUUGACGCUGAGGCACGGAAGUGUGGGGAUCAAACA